CCUACGGGUGGCAGCAGUAGGGAAUAUUGCUCAAUGGGGGAAACCCUGAAGCAGCAACGCCGCGUGGGGGAUGAAGGUUUUCGGAUUGUAAACUCCUUUUGUUAGAGAAGAUAAUGACGGUAUCUAACGAAUAAGCACCGGCUAACUCCGUGCCAGCAGCCGCGGUAAUACGGAGGGUGCAAGCGUUCCUCGGAAUCACUGGGCGUAAAGAGCGCGUAGGCGGGAUGGCAAGUCAGAUGUGAAAUCCUAGGGCUUAACCAUAGAACUGCAUUUGAAACUGUUAUUCUAGAGUAUGGGAGAGGUAGGGGGAAUUCUUGGUGUAGGGGUAAAAUCCGUAGAGAUCAAGAGGAAUACGCAUGGCGAAGGCGACCUGCUAGAACAUAACUGACGCUGAUGCGCGAAAGCGUGGGGAGCAAACAGGAUUAGAUACCCUUGUAGUC
rnacentral:rRNA from 1 species